rnacentral:rRNA from 1 species
CAGCAGUCGCCGCGGGAAUACGAAGGGGGCUAGCGUUGCUCGGAAUCACUGGGCGUAAAGGGUGCGUAGGCGGGUUUUUAAGUCAGGGGUGAAAUCCUGGAGCUCAACUCCAGAACUGCCCUUGAUACUGGGAAUCUUGAGUAUGGGAGAGGUGAGUGGAACUGCGAGUGUAGAGGUGAAAUUCGUAGAUAUUGGGAGGAACACCUGUGGCGAAAGCGGCUCACUGGACAAUAACUGACGCUGAUGCACGAAAGCUAGGGGAGCAAACAGGAUUAGAUACCCCUGUAGUCCCUGUCUCUUAUAA